rnacentral:rRNA from 1 species
CCUACGGGUGGCAGCAGUGGGGGAUAUUGCACAAUGGGGGGAACCCUGAUGCAGCGACGCCGCGUGGGUGAAGGAGCGUUUCGGCGCGUAAAGCCCUAUCGGCAGGGAAGAAGGAGGACGGUACCUGACUAAGAAGCCCCGGCUAACUACGUGCCAGCAGCCGCGGUAAUACGUAGGGGGCAAGCGUUAUCCGGAGUUACUGGGUGUAAAGGGGGCGCAGACGGAGGCGGAGGCCAGGAGUGAAAGCCCGGGGCCAAACCCGGGGGCGGCUCUUGGAAGUGCGCGGCUGGAGUGCAGGAGGGGCAGGGGGAAUUCCGGGUGUAGCGGGGAAAUGCGUAGAUAUCAGGAGGAACACCGGUGGCGAAGGCAGCCUGCUGGACUGCGACUGACGUUGAGGCCCGAAAGCGUGGGGAGCAAACAGGAUUAGAUACCCCUGUAGUC